rnacentral:rRNA from 2 species
UACGUAGGUGGCGAGCGUUGUCCGGAAUUACUGGGUGUAAAGGGCGCGUAGACGGGUAUGUAAGUCAGAUGUGAAAUACCGGGGCUCAACUCCGGGGCUGCAUUUGAAACUAUGUAUCUUGAGUGCAGGAGAGGUAAGUGGAAUUCCUAGUGUAGCGGUGAAAUGCGUAGAUAUUAGGAGGAACACCAGUGGCGAAGGCGACUUACUGGACUGUAACUGACGUUGAGGCGCGAAAGCGUGGGUAGCAAACAGG